UACGGAGGGUGCAAGCGUUAUCCGGAUUCACUGGGUUUAAAGGGUGCGUAGGCGGGCAGGUAAGUCAGUGGUGAAAUCUCCGGGCUUAACCCGGAAACUGCCGUUGAUACUAUUUGUCUUGAAUAUUGUGGAGGUAAGCGGAAUAUGUCAUGUAGCGGUGAAAUGCUUAGAUAUGACAUAGAACACCAAUUGCGAAGGCAGCUUACUACACAACGAUUGACGCUGAGACACGAAAGCGUGGGUAGCAAACAGG
rnacentral:rRNA from 1 species